rnacentral:rRNA from 1 species
UACAGAGACUGCAAGUGUUAUUCGGAUUCACUGGGCGUAAAGGGUGCGCAGGCGGUCGGGUGUGUCAGAUGUGAAAUCCCGAGGCUCAACCUCGGAACUGCGUCUGAAACUACUCGACUAGAGUACUGGAGAGGGUAACGGAAUUCACGGUGUAGCAGUGAAAUGCGUAGAUAUCGUGAGGAACACCAGAGGCGAAGGCGGUUACCUGGACAGUUACUGACGCUCAGGCACGAAAGCAUGGGGAGCAAAAGGG